CGUGAUGGUGAUCAUGGCCACUGUGACUGUGACCAUGACCAUGAUGAUGGCGAUGGUCAUGGUCAUCCUCUUUUGCUUCAUCAAACAUUUUCUGGAUAUGCUCUGGUAUAGGUUCUUCUUCAGUUUUCCUAAUUGAUUUUGGUAAAGAGGAUACAAACUCAACAAGAAUCUCAGCUAGCUCAUCUGUAGCAUCUUCCUGAAAUCACAAAGAAUCAAAACUGAAUUUCAAUUCAAAUGCAGCGAUUGCAUUAUUUCAUCCAGCAGCAUCCAAAAGAAACAAAGAAAGCCUUAUGAACGAUUCAACAAUGUACUUUGCAUAUGAAAUGUGGUUUGGAUCUAACUGCCAACAUAAAAUUAAGGAAAAAGUACUAUUAGUCCCUAUAUUAUAGUGAAAUUAAUGACUUUAUCCUUGUAUUUUCAAAAACACAUUAAUUAGUCCCUAAGUUUUGAUUCCGUACUAUUUUUCUUUCUUCCCUCCAUUUAUUUUUCUCAACAUUUGCCACUAAUGAUAAACAAUUUCAUCCCUAAAUUUUUACUAUUACAAACAUUUUUGCCCCUAAAUUUUUAUCAUUAUUAAUACUUUUGUCCCUUAUUUACCACCUUUUAGUCCCUGACUAAUGAUUAAAUUGACAAAAAAUGGACAAAGGAACCAAAUAGUUAAAUGUAAAGAACUAAAUCAUGUAUUUUUUGAAAAUAUGAUGACCAAGUCACUAAUUUUACCAUAAUUGAGGGACUAUAAAAUUAAUUGGUGAGAGAAAGUAGAAAAUUAAGCAGAGUGCAAGAGUUAUUAGCAUGAUGCCCUCUGAAGCAUUCAACGAAUAUGAAAGAAAUAACUUAAUAAAUAGUUGAAAAGAGGAAAAAUAAAAAAAGAAUACUGUUCUCAAUUAGGCAAAGAGGCUCAAGUUGUACAUUGAGCCUACCUUGAUCCCAAGGGGGAUUGGGGGCGCUCAGUUCAACAAAAGAUCAUCUCAAUUUCUUGGGACAGGUUUGAGCCCCAGGGAAAUGUGAUCUGGCCACAUACGAACUCAACAAAAGCAACUGCACUGAUGCAUGUUCUUAUUUUCACGUUGUUCCAGUUCAAGCAAAGAAGUUAGUCCUCCUUCUCCAACAUUUUGGGUUAAGUGGCCUGAUUCAACCAUUCUUCUUGAAGCUGGAUAUGGCGAGGAUAAAAAAAAAAUGGGGGAAGGUGAAAGAGUAUAGGCACAGAACAGAAGAGGGACAUUAUGAAGACUGUUGAGAUUGGACUCCCAGAGAAAAAGUUUGAAGGUUAGUUCUACACUUUUCUAUCAUUAGUCAAAAUCAAACACCAUAUGCCCAUGCACAGAUACAUAUGCACGCAUUACAUAAACUCCACUCUCUCAGCCAAUGCCAAUCAGUGACAAACAAAGCUCAGUUAACUGCCUGUAUCUAUGAGAAAUUCAUUGCUUAAAUUUCAUGUUUAAGUUGAUCAAAUCAUUGCAGAAGGCAACAUCAAGUCUAUGUUUUGAUGAUAAAAUUGGGUAAAUCUUAUUGAAAGCUGGACCAUUUUGUGAAAAUCUCAUUAAGACUCUACUAGGAGGAUAAUAUUGAGUCUUGACAAGUCACAUCUAAAUCUGCUAUCAUCAACCAUCGAGAAGACAAUUCAAGUGAAAAAGUAUAUAAUAACAUCAAGAAACUGGAAUCAAACUCAAGCAUACACAACCUUUUCAAUUUCACCUCAUUAAAGAUAAAUUUUGCUCAUGAGAAGAUACCAAGUAGUCAAUUUGCCAUUGAAGCCAACUCCAAAAUCCAAAUGCAUUCUGAGGCCACCGCCCGCCAGAGUGAGAAACAAAUUUUGCAUGUGGAAGUGCCUCAGCUACCCUGUGCCCUUCCUGACUCCACUCUUUCGACCAACUAUUAGACCAAAUCACCUGAAUUGGCACUUCCUUUAUCCCAUCCAAACCACCACAUUCUGCUACACUAAAGCUAGAAUUCAGCUUCUUUCCUGUAUCCACAACAGCUCUCCUCACAUCCCUUCCUUUCAAAAUCGCUCUGUGUCUCCAAAUCCAAACCACCAAUCCUCUUUGAACAACACAAGCGAAUCAAUUUCUCAUAUGCAAAAUUUGAUCCCAAAACAACCUCUCUAAUUACUGGCAUUUUCAAAGCCCGCAAAGGCAAAGCUGGUUUUGACCCAGUAUCUGAAAGAGUGAUGCUUCUAACCAAAUUUGAGUUCUCCAAAACCCAAUUUGCCACCAUUCCUAAGCUUGAAUCAUGCAAAACCAAAUGCACAGGGGUAACCCCAUCGUUUCAAGCUUUCAAUCACUUGCUCCAAAACU
rnacentral:misc_RNA from 1 species